rnacentral:rRNA from 1 species
AGACGGAGGGGGCUAGCGUUAUUCGGAAUGACUGGGCGUAAAGCGCGCGUAGGCGGUCCGGUAAGCGGAGGGUGAAAGCCCACGGCUCAACCGUGGAAUUGCUCUCCGAACUGCCGGACUAGAGGCCGGGAGAGGGCAGUGGAAUUGCCGGUGUAGCGGUGAAAUGCGUAAAUAUCGGCAAGAACGCCCGUGGCGAAGGCGGCUGCCUGGAACGGCCCUGACGCUGAGGCGCGAAAGCUGGGGGAGCGAACCGGAUUAGAAACCCUUGUAGUCC